UACGGAGGGUGCAAGCGUUAUCCGGAUUUACUGGGUUUAAAGGGUGCGUAGGUGGGCCUGUAAGUCAUUGGUGAAAUCUUCAAGCUUAACUUGGAAACUGCCAUUGAUACUAUAGGUCUUGAAUUAUCUGGAGGUAAGCGGAAUAUGUCAUGUAGCGGUGAAAUGCUUAGAGAUGACAUAGAACACCCAUUGCGAAGGCAGCUUACUACGGAUUGAUUGACACUGAGGCACGAAAGCGUGGGGAGCAAACAGG
rnacentral:rRNA from 1 species